rnacentral:rRNA from 1 species
CAUGGUUCGAAAUUGAAAGGCGGCUUCGGCUGUCACUUAUGGAUGGACCCGCGUCGCAUUAGCUAGUUGGUGAGGUAACGGCUCACCAAGGCAACGAUGCGUAGCCGACCUGAGAGGGUGAUCGGCCACACUGGGACUGAGACACGGCCCAGACUCCUACGGGAGGCAGCAGUAGGGAAUCUUCCGCAAUGGACGAAAGUCUGACGGAGCAACGCCGCGUGAGUGAUGAAGGCUUUCGGGUCGUAAAACUCUGUUGUUAGGGAAGAACAAGUGCUAGUUGAAUAAGCUGGCACCUUGACGGUACCUAACCAGAAAGCCACGGCUAACUACGUGC